AUUGAACGCUGGCGGCAGGCUUAACACAUGCAAGUCGAGCGGGGUGAUGGUGCUUGCACUAUCACUUAGCGGCGGACGGGUGAGUAAUGCUUAGGAAUCUGCCUAUUAGUGGGGGACAACAUCUCGAAAGGGAUGCUAAUACCGCAUACGUCCUACGGGAGAAAGCAGGGGAUCACUUGUGACCUUGCGCUAAUAGAUGAGCCUAAGUCGGAUUAGCUAGUUGGUGGGGUAAAGGCCUACCAAGGCGACGAUCUGUAGCGGGUCUGAGAGGGUGAUCCGCCACACUGGGACUGAGACACGGCCCAGACUCCUACGGGAGGCAGCAGUGGGGAAUAUUGGACAAUGGGGGGAACCCUGAUCCAGCCAUGCCGCGUGUGUGAAGAAGGCCUUAUGGUUGUAAAGCACUUUAAGCGAGGAGGAGGCUCUUUUGGUUAAUACCCAAGAUGAGUGGACGUUACUCGCAGAAUAAGCACCGGCUAACUCUGCGCCAGCCGCCGCAGUAA
rnacentral:rRNA from 1 species